AAUUAGAGAUGUUGUACCCUUCUUCUUUUUGGUGUCGGCGCACUUGCGAACGGAGCAUUUCCGGACAAUUGAUACUUAUCAUCUUAUCAACAUUUUAGACUACAGCAGAAAAUUUAAACAAAAUGUUGAAAAAAAAAAUAAAAAUCAAUAAUCCUUCAUUUGUCACCAUUAUUCCCUUUGGGUCUUUGUCGACGAAAAAUCCAUUCGAUCAAAUGUUCGUCGACGAAUUGUACAUUCGAUGAAUUGUGCAUUCGACUAACUGUUUGUCGACCAAAUGUUGUCGACUAAUUUUCCGACUAACUUUCCGACACCGGGAAUGGUUUGUUGUGGCAAACAGUGUCAAAAGCGAUGUGGGAGAGUAAAUCCCUGGGUGAAGUGAUUGUAUCUACUGCAGCAAUAAUAAUGCUUAGAAGAAUAAAUGCAGUAGUAAAUAGGACAAAAUUAAAAAUGAAUAUGGUUAAAUGGGUAAUCUAGUUGUAGCACCAAUCAAUGCCAAAAUGGGGGAGCAUAAGUUAAGAUGAUUUGGAUACGUUUAACGUUUUAAGACUAAAGAAGAUUUGAUGAAACCGGAUAAUAAGAGGCAUGGGUUAUAAAAUAGAAAGAUAGAAAUUGCAUGUAAUGUAGGUAUGCCAACCAACCAUAUGAAUAAAAGAAAGCAAGUUAUGAUGAUAUAUUGAUUCUCACACCCUGUUUUUAUUAUAUUAUAUUUAGAUCAAUUUUUUGUUGUAAUCUAAUUCUUCUCUUGUUGAACUACUGUUAAAAAUGCCUUCUAGUUCUUUUAUAUCGUCAGCUCAUUGAUGACAAAACUCUAUUUUCUUACUGCAAUAUUGUGAAUUUGUAACAUAAUUUAAAUUAAUUACAACAUUUUGGGAAUAUUUUGUCAUUAGGCAACACUUUACGUGUGUACAUGAUUUUUAACAGACUGAUUUUAACGAUUUAAUAUAUUCAUUAUACAGGGUGUCCCGGAAAAUAGUGCGUUCCUUCAAGGUACUGGCUAAGUGUACCAUUUAGAGCAAAAAAGUCCGAUAAAAUUUUUUUGUAAAGUCGACCGUUUUCAAAAAACUAAUUUAUUAAUUUUAAUGCAUUUGAUUAAUGUCCACAGAAACGCAAAUACAGCCGGCAACUCUGCGUUCCGUCUUCUGUGUAAAAAUAAUUUUACUGUAGGGGAAAGGAGGGUAAGAUGGAAGGGUAGGGCAAGAUGGAAAUUACCUAUAAAACCCGAACUGCGCAAUGAAGCGCCUGGAUGCACAUUCACACAGAUGCAGACGAACCUCUUCCAUUUACAAACGACGGCUGAAUCAGUUCAGGUCAGCUAAUGAGUGUACACGCUUCCUUCUUAUUUUCGCAGUUAAAUAUUACACAAUUAUUGAAUUUUUGUGAUACGAUUAUUUAAACAAGGUGUAUAAUAUUAUUAUUAUGCAUUUAUUCAAAGUAUCUAUUAGGUACAGGUUAUCUGAAUUGAUAUUUAAAUAAGAGAAAUAUUAAAGCAUUUUUAAAAUAUUGAUAUUAUUAUUGGAAAGGGGCAUAUGGGCAAGAUGGAAAAUUGCAACUUAGGGCAAGUUGGAAGAUAAUAGUUAGGCAAAAAUAAUACCAAGGAAAUAGGAACCUGCGAGAAUAAAAGAAAAGG
rnacentral:lncRNA from 1 species